rnacentral:rRNA from 1 species
CUAACAAGGAUUCCCCUAGUAACUGCGAGUGAAGCGGGAAAAGCUCAAAUUUAAAAUCUGGUAGUCUCUGGCUGCCCGAGUUGUAAUCUAGAGAAGCGUUAUCCGCGCUGGACCGUGUAUAAGUCUCCUGGAAUGGAGCGUCAUAGAGGGUGAGAAUCCCGUCUUUGACACGGACUACCAGGGCUUUGUGAUGCGCUCUCAAAGAGUCGAGUUGUUUGGGAAUGCAGCUCUAAAUGGGUGGUAAAUUCCAUCUAAAGCUAAAUAUUGGCGAGAGACCGAUAGCGAACAAGUACCGUGAGGGAAAGAUGAAAAGAACUUUGGAAAGAGAGUUAAACAGUACGUGAAAUUGUUGAAAGGGAAACGCUUGAAGUCAGUCGCGUUGGCUAGGAAUCAGCCUUGCUUUUGCUUGGUGUACUUCCUUGUUGACGGGUCAGCAUCAAUUUUGACCGGUGGAAAAAGGCUAGUGGAAUGUGGCAUCUUCGGAUGUGUUAUAGCUGCUAGUUGUAUACAUCGGUUGGGAUUGAGGAACUCAGCACGCCGAAAGGUCGGGGUUUUGCCCACGUUCGUGCUUAGGAUGCUGGCAUAAUGGCUUUAAUCGACCCGUCUUGAAACACGGACCAAGGAGUCUAACAUGCCUGCGAGUGUUUGGGUGGAAAACCCGAGCGCGUAAUGAAAGUGAAAGUUGAGAUCCCUGUCGUGGGGAGCAUCGACGCCCGGACCAGACCUUUUGUGACGGAUCCGCGGUAGAGCAUGUAUGUUGGGACCCGAAAGAUGGUGAACUAUGCCUGAAUAGGGUGAAGCCAGAGGAAACUCUGGUGGAGGCUCGUAGCGAUUCUGACGUGCAAUCGAUCGUCAAUUUGGGUAUAGGGGCGAAAGACUAAUCGAACCAUCUA